rnacentral:rRNA from 1 species
AUUGAACGCUGGCGGCAGGCCUAACACAUGCAAGUCGAACGCGUGGCGGGCGGGUGAGUAAUGUCUGGGAAACUGCGUGAUGGAGGGGGAUAACUUCUGGAAACGGUAGCUAAUACCGCAUACCAUCAGAAGUCCCUAGAUGGGAUUAGCUUGUUGGUGGGGUAACGGCUCACCAAGGCGACGAUCCCUAGCUGGUCUGAGAGGAUGACCAGCCACACUGGAACUGAGACACGGUCCAGACUCCUACGGGAGGCAGCAGUGGGGAAGAUUGCACAAUGGGCGCAAGCCUGAUGCAGCCAUGCCGCGUGGAUGAAGAAGGCCUUCGGGUUGUAAAGUACUUUCAGCGGGGAGGCGUUACCCGCAGAAGAAGCACCGGCUAACUCCGUGCCAGCAGCCGCGGUAAUUC